rnacentral:tRNA from 1 species
GGGCGAUUAGCUCAGUUGGUUAGAGCGCUUGCUUGACAUGCAAGAGGUCGCUAGUUCGAAUCUAGUAUUGCCCACCA